CUGUCAGGUGUUUGUCGGGCCCUACCCUGACCUCCUCCUGCAUCCAAUGCGGAGGGUCGCGCUUCUCCCUGCAGCUCCCGCAAACCCCGGGCCUUUGUCGCCCUGCUACGGUGUGCCUCCUUCCACCCCUCCCCAUCCCUGCCACCGCCGAAACUUCCUCGCCCAAUUCCAUGGUUUGCUCUCUGUCGCCUCUCUCUCUCUCUCUCUCUCUCUCUCUAUCUAUCUCUCUCUACUGAGUGGAGCAAGGGGAGCUCCAAGAAUUGUUCGUUUUGCUGCGCCCCUCAUAUGUUUGAUGCAAUGUCUACUAGAGUCUUUUCUCUAAUUCUCUCUCCACUAUCAAAUUUUUUUGAUUUUACUAUGCUUGCUCUUGCAAUCUAUUGCUUAAUUGAAAUUUUAUGUUUUGUUUGAUUCUUAUAUAUUCUUUCUUAUUGCUUUCUUUAUCCAAAAACAAAGUUAAGAACUUUUAUUUGAAAAAGAAUUCUGAUAAUAGGCGGUGAUGAUGAGUUGAAACACCACAAUGUAUUCGGAAGUUCGAUUCUUGAUUAUAGGUUUCAUACAUUGAUGAUGAAGUUUCAUAAGGUCUCUAUCUUCUCUUUUAAGUAUUUUUCGAAUUCAUAUUAGAAGGUUUGGACGGUGAGGCAGUAUGGAUGGCCACAUGGCAACCACUGCAGCUUUGAAUCCUUUGCAAAAGUUUGGUUUGCACUUGAAGAGAAUGGACAAUUCCAUUUGCAGUUAUCAAGUUGAGUUCUUUUAAUGUUUCGUAUGAUUUCUUCGGCUGUUUGGUAAAAAGAAAUUAAUCCUUCUUGGAUUUGUUUUCUAUCUUUUUUUUGCCUCUUAAGAUUUUUGUGUGGGAUUUUGAUUAUUUUCAUUGGUAUCAAUUACCUUAGCUUUCUAAAAUUCCAUCGCUAAAAAGAAAAGUGGGUUACUAUUUAUUUUCUGUUUUAUUGAAGGAUAUUUCCUUUGCUGUUUCUUUCUUUCUCCUGGCUCUUCUUUGAGGCGAUGAUGAUAAGUUGAGGGAAGUGCGAAAAAUAUUUUCUUCGAACAAGUUGAGGUUUGGAUGGCCUACUCAUAGGCAACCGCCUUAUAUUGUCUUAACUUUGGUGGUUGCGCACAUUCCCCUCUAACGGUAGUUUAUUGCUUGGCAACCGGAAAGUGUGGAAAAUGUUUACUUCGUACAAGUGGAAGUUUGGACGGCUUACUCAUAGGCACCGGCUACAUAUUGUCUUACCCUUGCUGGUUGUGCACAUUUUCCCACAAUGGUAAUUUCUUUCUUAGGCCCUGCUUCCUACCAUUCUUAUUCUUAGCGGCUGCGCACAUUUCCCUCCUACGGUAAUCUAUUGGUCCUACUACUACCCUAUACUUAUGAGCAAUGCUGUCGAGUGCUUAUGAGCAAUGUUACCAAUUUGACUUAACUGAGCCUUACCUUUUUGUCCCCUUUUAGGGUGAUUCUUUAAAUUGGUUUUGCAACAGAAUUUAUACAACUGUUUGAAUUGUUCCCUGUUUAUCGACCUUUUAAAUAUUCUUCUUCGUUUGGCUGUCGGCAUUUGAAUUGAAUUCUUCCUGUGGUUUUUUUUUUAUACAUAAUCUUUUGAUGAUUCUUUAGAUUAUGUUUUUUUAUUCAUUUACCAUAGUCUAUUAUAGUAUUUUCAUUGAGCAUAAUAGAGCUAUUUAAUUUAAGCUGAAGAGAGUACAUAACAUAUUUACUUCGAACAAUGAUUCCCCAAUGAACUCUCUGUUGUCAUUUUAAUUUACAUUGUCUGCUACACUCUCUUGCUAUUAUGAUGAUUAAUAGGUAGUUUCAUGCAUUUUUACUGUCCUUUUGCAUUCUGAAAUCUGAGGCCUUGAUAUUGACAGUACAAACUUAUUUGACUGGCCUUCAGAAUGAUCUGAUGUUUAGUUGUGCUCAGCUUUGGCAUUCCUAUUUUGUUUAAGCUGAAAAAAAAAGUUGCGCUUCGAUAACCUGAUCCCUGGGCAACCAGCUGUAGAUUGCUUUGUUUGCAAUGUCCAUAUAGAUUAUAACUCAAAUUGCAUUAUUAAUCAAGAAGGUUUCCGUGCUAAUCUAAUAAUAAUGUUUAGUGGGGGGGGGGCUGAGCAUAUUAUAUUUGUUUAUUUCCACCCUCAUUCAUGUAUACUAUUUGGUGUGAUUUUCCUGAGCUGAUUUACUAUAGAGGUUUCCAUCUUUCUUUCAAGUAUUUGUUUAAUAAUACAGUUGGGGAUUUUGAUGCUUUGCGUAUCACUUGCUUUGGUUCAGCAUGCAGCUGUUGGGGUUAAAAAAGCAUGUGUUUUCAGUUAGAUUGGUCUUUUUUGGUGUAUCCGUAAGUGCCUAAGAACUACAGAGUUUCUUGGUGUCGAAUGUACAGGCAAAGUUUCUUUAGUUUGGACAAUGGAAGCUUUGAACUUUCUUUCACUAACUCUUGGUACCUAUAAUAACAUAGAAGCAAAACCGAGCAUAAACCAUGUAUCAAGUUGCUUUUGUACUUCGAAAUAUAUGGCUCAACCUAUUAGCGCCAGCGAAUUGUGUGUUCAUUCUUUCUGUUGAGUACGACUGACACUUUGUUUCAAGUACUUUGAAGUUGUAUCCUAACUACCAAAACAGUUUAUAGCAAAACUCAAUCAAAUGCAUUCAAAUUAAGCAUCUCUGAAUUUUCUUGAUUCGGAACUUAACUCUGAGGCACAAUGGUGAAUAUCUUUCAAAAUAUCCAAAAGAGGAAACUUGGGUGCAACAAUUUUAUAACAGUUACAGCAUUUAUUCUCCACUUCCUUGCAUAUAGCCUCUAUGCUAGGCAUAUGAAAACCCAUAUAAGCAAGCGCAGAGGGAUUACAUGUCAACAAAAGUUUAAUGGCUCCCAAAUUUUGAGGUAGCUGCUUCAAGCCGGUGUAUGUAGUUUGGUGUCAUUUGCACAGCCUGAUUUACUAUGGAAUUUCAAUUUUUUCCCGUCGAUUUCACCGUUGAUGUUGCUAUUUUCUAUCUUUUCUUUGAGGCGAUGAUGAUAAGUAGAGGAAAACGUGAAAAAUGACGGUUUCGAACAAGCGGAAGUUUGGACGGCCUAUUCAUAGGCAACCACUUCCUAUUGUUCUUAUCCCUGGUCAUUGCACACAUGUUCCUCCUACGGUAAUCUAUUGCUUCCUCCUAUUACUAUUUUGUGCUUACGAGAAUUUUCCUGACUUAAACUGAGCCUUACCUUUUUAGGUUUUUCAUGAAGACUGCUUCAAUUUUUUCUGCGGUGAACUAUUGCUUGCUCCUAUUUCUAUCCUGGUUCCGGCUGUGUGCUUCAGGGGUGGUUAAUCUCCUUUGCUAAUUUUGGGGGUGCUGACUUCUUCUUCUUCUUCUUUCUCUUUUUUCCCUCUUUCUUUCUAUCUUCCUCUCCCUUUCCCUGUUCUUCCCUGCUGCCAGCUGAAUUUCAGCAGUAGCAGUUGUUGUCGGGGCCAACAGUAUAUCAGCAGCAGCAGGCUGCAUCAACAACAGCAGCCUCUGCAAUAGCUGUGGUGGCAGCGUCUACUGUGGGAAUUGUGAAAAUUUGGAACUUAUAAUUACUGAAUUGGGUCUUAGUCGAGAAUUAUUUGGUGGGGGAGAGCUCGAGGAUCAUAUCCUUUCACCAAAUUGCAGGUUAGAAGGUUUGAAUUUGAGCCAGUUUGGAGCCUUAAGCUGAAUUUUGCAUUAUAUUGAUUUUUCGUUUAGUUUUCGGCCAAUUCUCUUAGUUGAGAUUGCGGGGUCCUGAAUUGGAUUUGUGCUAGAGAUUUCAUGGAGGAGAGGAGCUCUUGGAUGGCUUUACUUUAGCUAAAAUUCAGGUUACUUGAAAUGUAAUGGGUGCAUUUUAGUUAUUUAAGCUGAAAUUUCAUCAUGUUGAUUGAAUGGUGAAAUUAAGUCUAUUCCCACCAAUUCCUUAUUUGAAGCUGUGAUUCCUUUAAUUCUUCUUCUGUUUUUGGAGUUGAAAGCUUAAGAAAUUCCACUACAGUCUGGUAGCAAGGUUGGUUGAUCUUUGGUUUAGUAAAAUUUUAAAUUUUUUCCGUCAAUUUCGCUAUUGAUGCAACUUUGUAUUGGAGUAGUUUACCUCCUGUGCUGAUUUUGGGGGCACUGAAUUCUUGCUAGAUUGGAGGCUGAGGAGAAGUGUGUUUGUGAUCGAUUCAGCACUAUAGUUGGGUUAGCACUUGAGGUGGGUUUUAUUAAUUAAAUUUGAUGGAAUAGUUGGGUUAGCACUGUGUACUAAAUUCCUACAUACAUGCUAUUCAAAUACAUGCUUAUAAUCAAUCUACUCAAUUAUAUUGGCAUAGCUUCAUGUUAAAUAUUUUGUUUAUCGAAAACUUUUAGUGAUGAUAACCGUUUUUCCCAAUGAUGUCAGUUCAAAUCGGAGCAAAUUUAUGCAUUGAUUUGUCGGAGCUGUGGCUUAGUUAUUUGACAUAAUGCUUUUGAGGUUUUGUCUAGAAAAAACUCUUGCUUAUUGCCUUUCCUUUAGCAUGAUUUGCCAAAAAAAAGAAAUUCCUAGAAUCCGCAAGUCCCUUUUUGGUUCCUGUAUGUUUUCCAAAAAAGAUAACAAUCAUGUUUCCUACAUUUUCUUGCUGGCUGUAGGUUCUUUGUUGCUCUUUGUAGAUGUGUUCUGUGUGGUUUAUAAUAAUGCUUUGUUAUUUCUUGGGUACUUUGGCUUCACCUAUUUUUGUGCAUGCUAUGAUGACUGCCUCUUGAUUUGUCAUUUCUUGGGUACUUUGUGUGGUGUAUGUGUGUUUUAACAUGUUUUGUGUUGAGUUUCUGUGUUAGUUUUUAUUUUAUAAUCGCCUUAUGUUUUGUGGGCUAUGAUGGCUGCCUCUUGAUUUGUCAUUUCUUGGGUACUUUGUGUGAUGUAUGUAUGUUUUAACAUGUUUUCUGUUGAGUUUUUGUGUUAGUUUUUAUUUUAUAAUCGCCUUAUGUUUUGUGGAUUUUCUAUUUUAGUUUUCUUUUUCGGGCUAUGAUGCUUUUGUGCCUUUGAUCGCCACAUGAUACUAUUGGCCAUAUCUUUUCCUUCUGUUGUAAAAGUGAGGAUAUUCAGUGAUUAUACUUAGUGUGCAAUAUUUGGAUGGCCUAUUAUAUAGGCAACCAGUUGUGACUACUUAUUUGAGAUAUAGAUUAGAACUCCGGUUGGUACUUUUUAUGUCAAGAUGGAUUCAGGCUAUAUGUGGUCCCCGCUUAUUUUUUCCGUCUGUGUUAUUUUCCUGCAGGUCGGACUUGGGAAAUUUUUAGCCUUCAUUGCUGAUUAAAGCUGAGCCCGUAUACUUAUUUUCCCUGUUUUUUUUUAUUCCUAAUGGUUUUUUGGUUUUAGACUUAGGGACCUAGCCUGCNCCCCCACUUUUCUAUUUAGGUUAAUUUAUGUAUUUAAGUCGCACAUACAAAAUGGUUUAAGUUUACAAAGUUUUUGCCUUUGUUUAUUUAUCUAGGUUUAUAUUUAAUUCCCUUUGAAAGAAUUAGGCAUAAUUGUUGAUCACACUAUUUCAGUAUAGCUAAGUAUAAUUGCUUAAAGGCUUCAACAACGAUUUCGUUGAUGCGUUUAGUAAAUUGAAAUCUUUUAGAAUUUAUGAUAUGACGACAAGCUGGACUAAACUAAGACUUCUAUAACCCAGUGCCUGAAAUUUUUCCGAUGAAUUUCGAACUGGACUGAACUAAGAAUUCUAAAACCCAGUGUCUGAAAUGUUUCCGAUGAAUUUCGAACUAACUCGAAACCAGCCCUGUAGUUUUUGGUUCUAUACUUCUGCUGAUGUAUGUGUGCUUUCCUGAUUUUGAUAUUUGGUUUGUUCAUUAUUUUGAGUUUUAUAAUUGGGUUAUAUUUUGUGUUAUUUCUUUUAUGUUUUCUCUUUCGGGCUAUGAUGGUUUUGCUCCUUUUAUUGUGACAUGGCAGUAUCGGUCAUAUGUCCUUUCUGUAAAUGUAACGUGCUCAAUCUUUGGAUGGCCUAUAAUGUAGGCAACCAGUUGGCACGGUUUAUUUGAUAUAUAGGUUAGGCCUUUGGUUAGUACUAUUUCUUUAAAAUAUGGAUUAGGUCUAUGACUUUAUAUGCAGUAGCUGUAUUUUUCCCCUGCCUGUGUUCUUUUCCUGCAUAUUGAACUUGGAGCAUUUUUAGCCUUCAUUGCUGAUUAAAUCUGAGUCCAUUUAUUUUGUAUUCUGCUUUUAGUUCAAACAGUUUUUUUUUAGUCCUACGCUUAUUCAGAUUUUUUUCCUCAAGCUUAUAGGCAUGUCCUUUUUUAGCCUUCAUUUGUUUUAUAAUUGGGUUAUGUUUUGUUGUAUAUUGGUAUUUGUUUUCUCUUUUGAACUAUUAUAGGUUUGUUCCUUUAACUGUGCUAUGGCAGUAAUGGUUGUAUAUUUUCCUUCUUUUUGUAAAUGUAAGGGUGUCGCAUGGUUAUAUGUUGUGCUCAAUCUUUGGACGGCCUAUCAUGUCGGCAGCCAGUUGGCGCUAAUUAUUUGAUAUAUAGGUUUGUUACGUUGCAGUAUUAUUAAUAACAAAUAUGAUAUUUACAUGCUUGAAUCAUAAUUUGAAUAACUCUUUGUCAACCAAUAAUUUUCCAAAGGAUUGAGUGUGCACAGUAAAUCAAUUUCAAUCCCAUUUUUCCCAUAUACAGAAGCACAAUUAUUCUUCGCUUUGUUACAGCCAUUGUUUUAUAUUGCAAGGAUAUACAUGCAACUGUUAUAUAUAUAUAUAUAUAUAUAUAUAUGUAUUUUUUAUUCUAUAUUAUAUAUAUAUGUAAGGCUCGAGGAUGCAGGAGAAGAGGCUAAAGUACUUAGUCUCCUCUCUCUUGCCGCCGCGGCUUUAUAUAUACAUAUGUACACAUAUAUAUACACAGUUGUUAUAUAUAUAUGGUUGCAAAAGCUUCAGGUUUCCUUCCUGUUUAGCACAUGCAUGCAAAUUCACAAUCUGUAUAUAGCACAAUCCGUAUUUAGCACACUUAUGCAAAUUUCCUUCCUGUUUCGUUAAGCUUUCUAUAUCCUUAAUGGACAGUUUUAUCUCCGGUUAUCAAGUCAAAUUUUUUUAACGCUUUUGUAUGACUUCUUUGGAUAUUUAGUAGAAAAAAAAUAUUAUCACUGGAUUUGUUUUCUAUCUUUUUUCCUCUUUUAAGAUUUUUGUGUGGAAUUUUGAUUAAUUGCAUUGGUAUCAAUUUCCUCAAAAUUUAUGUGCUUUGCUUUUGACUGACAGCAUUACACUUUUAUUCUGACUCGAGAUUUUAUAACAUGCAAAGUGUCGAUCUUUCACCCUGAUUGUAUACUGCAUUUAUUUGGAAGCUAAGUUGUCUAGCUGAAUUCUAAAUUAUCUUGCUGAGAUUUUAUAACAUGCGAACUACCGAUCUUUCACCCUUACUGUAUGCUGUAUGUUUUUGGAAUCUAAGUUGGCUAGCUGAAUUCUAAAUUACUUUGCUGAAUUCUGCUGCCUGGAAAUUCCAUAGAACUGCCUUCUCUGUAUUGCCCAUCUGAAUUCCCAAUUGCCUAACAGGAUCCUGUGUUUCUAAUUCAGGUUUGUGGAAUCAAAAUUGCACUAUUAGAGUAAGAGUGGGUAAAGAAAAAGGUUUUUUAAUUUUGUACCAGCUCCCUUUUAAUAUGAAACAAUACAUAUGAAUUUGCUUUCCAAGUUCUGAAAUCUGGGUUCUGAAUUCGAAAAACGAACUCUGGACAAAGGAUAUUUAUUUUCCUUAUAUUCUUCAUAGAAUUCCUGUUUCUUGCUAUUUUCUAUUUCUUCUUUUAGGCGAUGAUGAUAAGCAGAGGAAAAUGUGGAAAAUGAUGGCUUCGAACAAGUGGAAGUUUGGACGGCCUAAUCAUAGGCAACCACUUCCUAUUGUUCUUAUCCUUGGUCGUUGCACACAUGUUCCUCCUACGGUAAUCUGUUGCUUGCUCCUAUUACUAUCCUGUGCUUACGAGAAUUUUGCCGAUUUAACUGAGCCUUGGCUUUUUAGGUUUUUCAUGAAGCCUGCUUAAAUUUUACCUACGGUAAACUAUUGCUUGCUCCUAUUACUGUCCUGGUUUCGACUGUGUGCUUCAGAAUUAAAUAUGUUGAAUUCUUACUUAGCUAAGUUUUGAUUUACUCCUUUAUUCUUCACUUCUUUUGCUCCAUGCUAUGAUGAAAAAAUGCUUCUUUCUACAUAAGGCAUAUAGAUGCUUCUCUUAAUGAGGCAAGAAAGUCCUAUGGAUGAUGGUAUGAUCAUGUUCCCACUUAAUUGUCCAGCUGUUUUGGUAAUUAAUAAGAUAGGAAAGUACUAUGAGUUAAAUUACAUAUUUAGAAAUAUCGGGUUGGCGAGGCGGUCAAUUGCUCUGCUUCUUUGCUGGUUGUAGGGGUGCUUUGGUCGGUCUUUUCCUAGGCAACCAGGCCUUCUCAUUUGGCCUGAGAACGCUUUUGGUAUACAUGUCCGUUGUAGCUCAACCAACAGUUCUAUUUGUCCAGGCUUCAGCACUAUUCUAAUAAUGUUCGAUGAUCCGGGGGGAGUCUGAGCAAAUUUUUUUAUUUUCUUGCUCUUCAGUUUUCCUUACUUGGUUUCUAUAUAUAUAUUUUGGAGAGUUUGUUUAUUUUAUUGGCCCUAACGCAGUACUUGAUUUUAGUAUUUGCGUCUUCCUGUGUAGUAUGCUAAACUUUGCAAUGUAAAGCUAAAUGCUUUUAGGCACUAUAUUUUAUGUUUCUUAGAUUGUUUAGUUGGUGGACUCCGAUAUAAUCAAGCUGAAUUCGGCUAGCCAAUAUAUUUAAAUUAGCAUGUGAAAUUCAGAUUUCAU
rnacentral:lncRNA from 1 species